rnacentral:lncRNA from 1 species
GUGUGCUAUUUGUGAUUGAGAUUAAUCAUGGAAAGUAGUGGGUUGAAGAUUGGAUUUGAGAGGUUUGAUGGAAAAGGGAGAAUUUCAUCAUGUGAAAGAUGAGGGUGGAGGAUCUGCUAGUAUAAAUGGGAUUAGAUUCGACCUUGGAGGAUACGCUAGAGGGGAUGAAUGAUAAGUAGUGGGUGCCUUGGAGAAAAGAGCAUGUG